rnacentral:rRNA from 1 species
GCCAGACUCCUACGGGAGGCAGCAGUGGGGGAUAUUGCACAAUGGGGGAAACCCUGAUGCAGCGACGCCGCGUGAGUGAAGAAGUAUUUCGGUAUGUAAAGCUCUAUCAGCAGGGAAGAAGAUGACAGUACCUGAGUAAGAAGCCCCGGCUAACUACGUGCCAGCAGCCGCGGUAAUACGUAGGGGGCAAGCGUUAUCCGGAUUUACUGGGUGUAAAGGGAGCGUAGACGGUUAUGUAAGUCUGGAGUGAAAGCCCGGGGCCCAACCCCGGGACUGCUUUGGAAACUGUGUAACUAGAGUGCAGGAGGGGCAGGCGGAAUUCCUGGUGUAGCGGUGAAAUGCGUAGAUAUCAGGAGGAACACCGGCGGCGAAGGCGGCCUGCUGGACUGAAACUGACGUUGAGGCUCGAAAGCGUGGGGAGCAAACAGGAUUAGAUACCCGAGUA